AACGAACGCUGGCGGCAUGCCUAACACAUGCAAGUCGAACGAGUCCUUCGGGUCUAGUGGCGCACGGGUGCGUAACGCGUGGGAACCUGCCCUUAGGUUCGGAAUAACUCCCCGAAAGGGGUGCUAAUACCGGAUAAUGUCUUCGGACCAAAGAUUUAUCGCCUUUGGAUGGGCCCGCGUUGGAUUAGCUAGUUGGUAGGGUAAAAGCCUACCAAGGCGACGAUCCAUAGCUGGUCUGAGAGGAUGAUCAGCCACACUGGGACUGAGACACGGCCCAGACCCCUACGGGAGGCAGCAGUGGGGAAUAUUGGACAAUGGGCGAAAGCCUGAUCCAGCAAUGCCGCGUGAGUGAUGAAGGCCUUAGGGUUGUAAAGCUCUUUUACCCGGGAUGAUAAUGACAGUACCGGGAGAAUAAGCUCCGGCUAACUCCGUG
rnacentral:rRNA from 1 species